ensembl:lncRNA
GUAAGUUAGUCUUGCUUCAUCCUAAAGUUAGCAAGUUAUUAAAUGUGGAUGUUACUGCAUUUUGGCAUAUGUGGGAUUAGGGAGUCGUUUUCUCAUCUUUUAUUCUACACAAGUCAUUGUAAUCAUUUAACACAAAAACAUUUUGAGAGGGAUUCAGUUUAGGGAACUCAUACGUAACUGUGAAUUACUGUGUGUCCUUCCCUCAGUUACUGCAUUACAAAUAAAGCGAAGAGAAACUCCUGUACCAUUGUUAUUCCUUCCUAUAAUCUGAAAACAUUGUAUGAAAAGAUGAUCACCCAUAGUCUAUUCAGAGGUUUCAGACAACGGUUAUUGCAGUUGGAUGGCAUUUCAAUAACUGAUCUCUAUCAGACGCCUAUGCCUUGCAACUUAAACGCAGUCACGCUGUGUUGCUGCGGAGUACAAGAAAAGCCUGAAAUCAGUGCUGACUGGGACUGAACAAUUCGAUUUCCAUUUCCAAGGUGAAGAUGCAAGUGAACAGUGUGGCUCAACAAACACUUCUGAAAAGCCUUGUCUUUUGGAUGAUCGUGGAACAUCCAGAUGAAAAGGGAUCUCAGGAAGCCAUCUCUACCAUCCCACUCUCUAGAGAUACGUUCAUUUUAUCUCUGUCAUUCCUGACUAAAUUUUCUCUGAUCACUUCUUAAAAAGAUUUACAAUCCCCGGGCAAUCUGACUUAAUGCAUCACUGUCCUCAUUUUUAGAAAGCUUCUCAUAAUGUCUAACUGAAGUAUUUACGCUGAAAUUGAAUGUCUUAUUAAUCUCUAAUAUCUUUGUGUUUGAAGACUCAUAUCUUCAUCACAUUUGCCUUCACUGCAGCGAGCACCUCCUUUCUCCAG